GCUGUAACCUAGUGGUAGAGAAUCUGCCUGGAAACAGAGGGUCCCAGGUUCUGAAAUCCUGGAGAGCAGCU